AGUCGCGUAAGGGUGCGUAACACGUGGGCAAUUUGCCGCGAAGUUUGGAACAACUUGCCGAAAGGCAAGCUAAUACCAAAUGUGAAUGAAGGUGGGCAUCUACUUUCAUUCAAAGCUGGGGACCGAAAGGCCUGGCGCUUCGCGAUUAGCCCGCGGCCUAUCAGCUAGUUGGUGGGGUAACGGCUCACCAAGGCAAAGACGGGUAGCUGGUCUUAGAGGACGACCAGCCACACUGGAACUGAGACACGGUCCAGACACCUACGGGUGGCAGCAGUCGAGAAUUUUUCACAAUAGGCGAAAGCCUGAUGGAGCGACGCCGCGUGGGGGAUGAAUGGCUUCGGCCCGUAAACCCCUGUCAUUCGGGAUCAAAUCUGACAACCUAAUACGUUGUUAGUUGAUAGUACUGAAAGAGGAAGGGACGGCUAACUCUGUGCCAGCAGCCGCGGUAAUACAGAGGUCCCAAGCGUUGUUCGGAUUUACUGGGCGUAAAGGGAGCGUAGGUGGUGGAUUAAGUCUGAUGUGAAAGCUCUGAGCUCAACUCAGAAAUGGCAUUAGAUACUAGUCCGCUUGAGGAUUGGAGGGGAGACUGGAAUUCUCGGUGUAGCAGUGAAAUGCGUAGAUAUCGAGAGGAACACCAGUGGCGAAGGCGAGUCUCUGGACAAUUCCUGACACUGAUGCUCGAAAGCUAGGGGAGCAAACGGGAUUAGAUACCCCGGUAGUCCUAGCUGUAAACGAUACACGCUUGCCGUAGGUGGAAUCGACCCCGCCUGUGGCGAAGCUAACGCGUUAA
rnacentral:rRNA from 1 species